UACGUAGGGUGCAAGCGUUAAUCGGAAUUACUGGGCGUAAAGCGUGCGCAGGCGGCUUUGCAAGACAGAUGUGAAAUCCCCGGGCUCAACCUGGGAAUGGCGCUUGUGACUGCAAAGCUGGAGUGCGGCAGAGGGGGAUGGAAUUCCGCGUGUAGCAGUGAAAUGCGUAGAUAUGCGGAGGAACACCGAUGGCGAAGGCAAUCCCCUGGGCCUGCACUGACGCUCAUGCACGAAAGCGUGGGGAGCAAACAGG
rnacentral:rRNA from 1 species